rnacentral:rRNA from 1 species
GUCUACGGCCAUACCACCCUGAACGCGCCCGAUCUCGUCUGAUCUCGGAAGCUAAGCAGGGUCGGGCCUGGUUAGUACUUGGAUGGGAGAUUUCACUUUCACUUUUCACUUUCAUGCACUGGAGAAG